GCGAGCAUGGUCUAGUGGCUAUGGCGCUCGCCUCACACGGGAGAGGUCCCGGGUUCGAUCCCCGGUGCUCGUA
rnacentral:tRNA from 1 species